rnacentral:rRNA from 1 species
CAAUAGCGUAUAUUAAAGUUGUUGCGGUUAAAAAGCUCGUAGUUGGAUUUCUGCCGAGGACGACCGGUCCGCCCUCCGGGUGAGUAUCUGGUUUGGCCUGGGCAUCUUCUUGGAGAACGUAGCUGCACUUGACUGUGUGGUGCGGUGUCCAGGACUUUUACUUUGAGGAAAUUAGAGUGUUUCAAGCAGGCACACGCCUUGAAUACAUUAGCAUGGAAUAAUUGAUAGGACUUCCGUUCUGUCUUUGGUUCUCGGAACGUGAAGUAAUGAUUAAUAGGGGCGGUCGGGGGCAUUCGUAUUGAACAGCCAGAGGUGAAAUUCUUAGAUUUGUUCAAGACGAACUACUGCGAAAGCAUUUGCCAAGUACGUUCCCAUUAA